AUGGCCCAUGCCCCACCAUGCACCACUACGACUGCUGACGUCUUUGAGUUCCUGCAGGAAACACAUAAGAGUAGUUUAUGGACUCUCAUUGUUGAUCUGCAGGACACGUGAGACAGAGCCCCCUCCUCAAACAGACAGGUCAUUCUCGACAGACAGUAGUCUGUCAUUCACUUCUUCCAGCUUUUUGAAUCAAUCUGUAUUAUUAAUGAAAUAAAA